rnacentral:rRNA from 1 species
UACGUAGGGACCAAGCGUUUGUCCGGAAUUAUUGGGCGUAAAGGAGCUCGUAGGCGGUUGUCCACGUCGGGUGUGAAAGCUCGGGCUCAACCCUGAGAGGCCAUUCGAUACGGGACGGCUAGAGGUAGGUAGGGGAGAUUGGAAUUCCUGGUGUAGCGGUGAAAUGCGCAGAUAUCAGGAGGAACACCGGUGGCGAAGGCGGAUCUCUGGGCCUUACCUGACGCUGAGGAGCGAAAGCUGGGGGAGCAAACAGG